rnacentral:piRNA from 1 species
UGGAAGAUGUGCGGGCCAAUGUGCCUGAGG